AUUACUUUCAGCUCACUCAAACUACAAGAACUUGUGCAUCAGCAUCGCUGCUUUCUCCAUCACUCUCAAUCUGUCUAUUCUCUAUUCAAAAUAAUCCUUUAAAAUAUAAUCAAACCUGGGGCGCCUGGGUGGCGCAGUCGGUUAAGCGUCCGACUUCAGC